AAAGUACUCCCUCUGUCCCGAAAUUCUUGUCUUAGAUUUGUCUAGAUACAGAUGUAUCAAGUCACAUUUUAGUAUUAGAUACAUCCGUAUCUAGACAAAUCUAAGACAAGAAAUUUGGGACAGAGGGAGUAGUUC
rnacentral:pre_miRNA from 1 species